AUGAACGCUAGCUACAGGCUUAACACAUGCAAGUCGAGGGGCAGCAUGGUCUUAGCUUGCUAAGGCCGAUGGCGACCGGCGCACGGGUGAGUAACACGUAUCCAACCUGCCGUCUACUCUUGGACAGCCUUCUGAAAGGAAGAUUAAUACAAGAUGGCAUCAUGAGUCCACAUGUUCACAUGAUUAAAGGUAUUCCGGUAGACGAUGGGGAUGCGUUCCAUUAGAUAGUAGGCGGGGUAACGGCCCACCUAGUCUUCGAUGGAUAGGGGUUCUGAGAGGAAGGUCCCCCACAUUGGAACUGAGACACGGUCCAAACUCCUACGGGAGGCAGCAGUGAGGAAUAUUGGUCAAUGGGCGAGAGCCUGAACCAGCCAAGUAGCGUGAAGGAUGACUGCCCUAUGGGUUGUAAACUUCUUUUAUAAAGGAAUAAAGUCGGGUAUGCAUACCCGUUUGCGUGUACUUUAUGAAUAAGGAUCGGCUAACUCCGUGCCAGCAGCCGCGGUAAUACGGAGGAUCCGAGCGUUAUCCGGAUUUAUUGGGUUUAAAGGGAGCGUAGAUGGAUGUUUAAGUCAGUUGUGAAAGUUUGCGGCUCAACCGUAAAAUUGCAGUUGAUACUGGAUAUCUUGAGUGCAGUUGAGGCAGGCGGAAUUCGUGGUGUAGCGGUGAAAUGCUUAGAUAUCACGAAGAACUCCGAUUGCGAAGGCAGCCUGCUAAGCUGCAACUGACAUUGAGGCUCGAAAGUGUGGGUAUCAAACAGGAUUAGAUACCCUGGUAGUCCACACGGUAAACGAUGAAUACUCGCUGUUUGCGAUAUACAGCAAGCGGCCAAGCGAAAGCGUUAAGUAUUCCACCUGGGGAGUACGCCGGCAACGGUGAAACUCAAAGGAAUUGACGGGGGCCCGCACAAGCGGAGGAACAUGUGGUUUAAUUCGAUGAUACGCGAGGAACCUUACCCGGGCUUAAAUUGCAGAUGAAUUACGGUGAAAGCCGUAAGCCGCAAGGCAUCUGUGAAGGUGCUGCAUGGUUGUCGUCAGCUCGUGCCGUGAGGUGUCGGCUUAAGUGCCAUAACGAGCGCAACCCUUGUUGUCAGUUACUAACAGGUCAUGCUGAGGACUCUGACAAGACUGCCAUCGUAAGAUGUGAGGAAGGUGGGGAUGACGUCAAAUCAGCACGGCCCUUACGUCCGGGGCUACACACGUGUUACAAUGGGGGGUACAGAGGGCCGCUACCACGCGAGUGGAUGCCAAUCCCAAAAACCUCUCUCAGUUCGGACUGGAGUCUGCAACCCGACUCCACGAAGCUGGAUUCGCUAGUAAUCGCGCAUCAGCCACGGCGCGGUGAAUACGUUCCCGGGCCUUGUACACACCGCCCGUCAAGCCAUGGGAGCCGGGGGUACCUGAAGUGCGUAACCGCGAGGAGCGCCCUAGGGUAAAACUGGUGACUGGGGCU
rnacentral:rRNA from 1 species